CCUCGCACAUGCCAAUGCCAACCGCUCACACCUCCUAAUCGGGGCAUCCAGGGUUUUCCGCCGCACGUGCCCGAACCAUCUAAGCCUCGCUUCCCGCAUUUUGUCGUCCAUGGGAGCCACGCCUACCUUCUCCCGAAUAUCUUCAUCUCUAAUCUAACUUAACCCCCGUAGGCUGAGGAGCAAAAGGAGGAAUCCGCCGAGGAGGGACUUGCGUCUGAUUAGCUAAUUGGUGAGGCAAUAGCUUACCAAGGCGAUGAUCGGUAGCUGGUCCAAGAGGAUGAUCAGCUACACUGUGACUGAGGCACGGCCCAGACUCCUACGGGAGGCAGCAGUGGGGAAUUUUCCGCGCAGUCUGCAGACAAAUGAA
rnacentral:ncRNA from 1 species